ACGGAAGGCAGCAGUGGGGAAUAUUGCACAAUGGGGGAAACCCUGAUGCAGCGACGCCGCGUGAGUGAAGAAGUAUUUCGGUAUGUAAAGCUCUAUCAGCAGGGAAGAAAAAAUCAAAAUUGACAGUACCUGACUAAGAAGCCCCGGCUAACUACGUGCCAGCAGCCGCGGUAAUACGUAGGGGGCAAGCGUUAUCCGGAUUUACUGGGUGUAAAGGGAGUGUAGGCGGCGAAGCAAGUCAGAUGUGAAAGCCCGGGGCUCAACUCCGGGACUGCAUUUGAAACUGUUUUGCUAGAGUAUCGGAGAGGUCAGUGGAAUUCCUAGUGUAGCGGUGAAAUGCGUAGAUAUUAGGAAGAACACCGGUGGCGAAGGCGGCUGACUGGACGAUAACUGACGCUGAGGCUCGAAAGCGUGGGGAGCAAACAGGAUUAGAUACCCUGGUA
rnacentral:rRNA from 1 species